rnacentral:rRNA from 1 species
AACGAACGCUGGCGGCAUGCCUAACACAUGCAAGUCGAACGAUACCUUCGGGUCUAGUGGCGCACGGGUGCGUAACGCGUGGGAACCUGCCCUUAGGUUCGGACUAACUCCCCGAAAGGGGUGCUAAUACCGGAUACUGUCUUCGGACCAAAGAUUUAUCGCCUUUGGAUGGGCCCGCGUUGGAUUAGCUAGUUGGUAGGGUAAAAGCCUACCAAGGCGACGAUCCCUAGCUGGUCUGAGAGGAUGAUCAGCCACACUGGGACUGAGACACGGCCCAGACUCCUACGGGAGGCAGCAGUGGGGAAUAUUGGACAAUGGGCGAAAGCCUGAUCCAGCAAUGCCGCGUGAGUGAUGAAGGCCUUAGGGUUGUAAAGCUCUUUUACCCGGGAUGAUAAUGACAGUACCGGGAGAAUAAGCUCCGGCUAACUCCGUG